AGAGGCAUAGCUCAAGGGCAGAGCGUGCGCUUGAUAAGCGCGAGAUGGCGGUUCGAAUCCGCCUGUCUCUACCA
rnacentral:tRNA from 1 species